rnacentral:rRNA from 1 species
AGCGAACGCUGGCGGCAGGCCUAACACAUGCAAGUCGAACGAACUCUUCGGAGUUAGUGGCGGACGGGUGAGUAACACGUGGGAACGUGCCUUUUGGUUCGGAAUAACUCAGGGAAACUUGUGCUAAUACCGAAUGUGCCCUUCGGGGGAAAGAUUUAUCGCCAUUAGAGCGGCCCGCGUCUGAUUAGCUAGUUGGUAAGGUAACGGCUCACCAAGGCGACGAUCAGUAGCUGGUCUGAGAGGAUGACCAGCCACACUGGGACUGAGACACGGCCCAGACUCCUACGGGAGGCAGCAGUGGGGAAUCUUGCGCAAUGGGCGAAAGCCUGACGCAGCCAUGCCGCGUGAAUGAUGAAGGUCGUAGGAUUGUAAAAUUCUUUCACCGGGGACGAUAAUGACGGUACCCGGAGAAGAAGCCCCGGCUAACUUCGUG